rnacentral:rRNA from 1 species
GACGAACGCUGGCGGCGUGCCUAAUGCAUGCAAGUCGCACGGGCUGCCUUCGGGCAGCUAGUGGCGCACGGCUGAGUAACACGUUCGUACCCGCCUCUCUGUGGGGGACAACACCGGGAAACCGGUGCUAAUCCCGCAUACGGCCCUCCGGGGUGAAAGCCUUACGGCGCAGAGAGAGGGGCGCGCGGCCCAUCAGCUUGUUGGCGGGGUAAUGGCCCACCAAGGCAGUGACGGGUAGCUGGUCUGAGAGGAUGACCAGCCAGACUGGGACUGAGAACGGCCCAGACUCCUACGGGAGGCAGCAGCAAGGAAUUGUCGGCAAUGGGCGCAAGCCUGACCGAGCAACGCCGCGUGGAGGAUGACGGCUUUCGGGUUGUAAACUCCUUUUCGGGGGAAUGAUACAAGACAGUACCCCCGGAAUAAGCCCCGGCUAACUCUGUGCCAGCAGCCGCCGUAAAAC